UGAGGAGUAGCUAGAGCUUCCUAGUCCUGGGACAGAAUGGACAAGAUUCACAUCUGAGGACAGAUUAGCCAUUUGGGAUAAUAUAUAGACUGGUACUUAAUGCUUCCAUUCAGUCCUCUUGGCACCAGAGUUUGAGGGCAUAUACUCAGUGGUAUGCUGUUUUAGAGCUAUGAAUGAGGCAGACGGUGCUGGAGGAAGUCACGAAAGAAUCUCUGAAUCAGAUGGGAUUUCACCCACCCUCACAGGCCAGAUGACUUGUGCUAUCAUCUAUCAAAUCAAAGAGUGCUCCAGGCUUGCUAAAUGCGACAUGAGAUGGCCUCAUGCAGCUCAAGCACAGAAAAGCUUCCAAAUGUAUCAUAGGCUGGCAGCUGGGCCCAUGUUGAGAAGAGCUGCCUCCCAGGGUGCACGAUGAGAGAAGGCAAAAGGUUUGCUGACAUUAAUGUCCACGAUGUCAACAACAACCCUUGCUUCCAAUCGCAUUUCCCGGAAAAUCCAGGCCAGAAAGGGCAGGGGGAGCAGGUCUCUGUAUCCUUUCUCAUCAGCUUCCUCUGCCCCUUUCAGCAGCCCUGCCCUCAAUCCCCUUUCAACCCACUGGCAUAGUAACUGCUCACCUCUUGGGCUGUUCUGUGAGACUGGACCAAAGCUAGGCUAACAUACUUGGCUAUACACCCACAGAUAACUCACAGGUAGCAUUUGGAAGACUUCUAAAGGGAUUUUUAGAGAGCGUCCCAUUGCCCUAAUUUUAGAUGAUGAAAAACAAGACUGAGAGGUGAAGUGACUUGCCUGAGGUCACACAGCAUCCUGGUGGCAAGGGACUAGAAUUUGAGCUUCCUGCCUUCAAAAUCAGUUAGCCCUGGAACCAAAAGAAGGUUCAAGGGAGAGAGAAGGCUCCCUCAAAUCCCCUCCUGAUAGAAGCAUUAUCUUCUCUACCUCAUUAUUAUUAACAAGGACAAAGAGACAUUGGGGAUGGAAUGUAUCUUUUAAUGUUUUAAACGAACAAAACUUUAGUAUAAAUUAAUAGAUCUAUUAAUUAAAUCAACUCCGUGAAUAGAGGCCCUUGUGAAGGGAGAGCCCAGUGUCCAGGAUAGAGGCUAAAAACCAAAGGACAAAGGACCUUGUAGACAAAUGUCACUUAUAGCUAGCCCCCUAAUCUUGAAUACAGAGAGUGGUGGAAAACAUCCAGAACUCACGGCUUGAUUGCAUGCAUGGAUCCAGCUACUCAGCAGUGAGGACAUUUCGAGACCACUCUCCAUCUUGCCUCCAGUUGGCCAGUGUGACCUUGGCUGAGCCUCCGGAAGUGUGAGCUGCAGAGCCUCUGGUCUGCUGAAAAGCGCUCUCCCAUCCCCACCGAGGGAAAUUAGCUGACCUUCACCUUUUGAAAUUACCUGCUGCUGCUCUUGGCUCAGCGCUGUUUCCCCUGCACUGGCUCCCAGCAUCCUGACAUUUCCAUUCACAGUUGCUCUCACCGGCCUCAUUUCCUGCCUCUCUGAAAAGGUCUCUCUGACCACCUCUGAAUCAAAAAUAAAAAUGCUAAAUUAUACUUAUCCUAACAUGGUGAAAAUCUCGACUAAUCUGAGCCCAAUCAUCUGAAGGCUUGAAUAGGUGGAUUUUCGUGGGCUGUUAUCACAUUCAAUUUUCCAAAGGGGAAUCAUUCAGUCUUGUAGAACCGUUUGAAACUAUUUUGCUCUGCGAAAACCCCCACAGAGUCACAAAUGUCAACGACUAUCCCUGGCCACACAUGUCAGAAUCAUAGUGAGGUGCUACCACUAAAUUUUUGAACUUAUUGGCAAUGCCCUUGACAUCAGUGCACCCGGGAUAAUUCCAGCAAGGAGGCUCCCUGGUUGGGAAACUUGCUUCUCCAUACAGUGGGUCUGACUUCCUUUCCCUUCCUUUCUCUCCAAUCUUUCCGAUCCAGAUCUCCAAACGUGAUGUCAGAAUCUAUACCUGGUGCAGAUAUUCUUAACUUUGCACCAGGCCCUAACCCAAAUGGUUCAUUCCGCCUAUAUAUGACUCAUCUCACUUUGGUGGAUUCCUGUAACUUCCAACCAUUUUUUUUUUCUAUAUGUAACUUAAAAUGCCUUUUCUCCUCCUGAAGCUGCCUUCGGGCUGCUUCUGGAAUUAUCUAUUUCUUUUUCAACUCUGCCCAUCAGCAUGCCACUGAUUCCUCCCCAAGCUGCAGCAUGGCUAGAGGCUCCUUUUUGAAAAUCUCCCUCUCAAAGCCAAAGCGGAAGAAUAGGGAUGUUUGAACAUUCCUGGGGAUUUGGAGAAUAGAGAGGAGCUUCCAGUGCUUGGCGGAGCCUAUGAAGAAGGGCUGAAUAAAGUUCAGGUGGUUCCUGAAGGAAGGCAGGUUGGGGCACUGGGUGCUGCGUUGAGAAGUAAUUGUAGUUUACAUGCUUCCUAAUGACCUGGCAUUACAGGCUGCACUCUGCUGCUCAGCAUCUGCUUCUAGCAGCCAGGGUUUGUAUCUACCUGCAGCCUGCAUUCCAGAAAGAAUGCCCUGUACUGAUAACAGACCAUGAAAGUGCAGCUUUAUGAAUUACCUUUGAUUUUUAAAGGAUAUCAUAAAUUCAACUUUUGAGUAAAUAGAAGACAAUGGAGCAUACAGUACAACGGGCAGGCCCCAGAGUCAGCCUAACCUGGAUUCAGAUUCUAGCUCAAACACUUUACAAAUAUUUGUGUGGCCUUGGACAAAUUAUCUUAAUUUGCUAAAGAUCUCAAUUUCCUCAUCAGUAAAAUGUGAAUAAAAAUAAGUAUUUUAUAGAAUUGUAUAGAUUACUUAAAAGGUAAAAGCAACAAUAAAAACUGAGUUAGCAUCUGAGGUGAAUUUAUUUGUGCCAGGCUCUACUCUCAGGAACUUUACAUAUAGUCAAUCAUUUUGUCCUUCUCCUUACCCUAAGAGAUUACUAUUAAUUAUUAUUAAUAUUGGCACUAUUAUUACUCUCAUCUUCCCCAGAUGAGGAAACUGAGCCACAGACAGAUUAAGUAGCUCACCCAAUGUCCAGCAACAGCCUCAGACACUGACAACCUGGGAGAAAUGGUCAGACUCUAGGCCUUAGACCCUCCUUCACUUGAGAGGCAGUGGGAUCAGCAGAGGCCUUAGUCUUCAUUUCUCCCCACCUCUCAAUUUAACACCCUUGUUGGGGGAGACCAGAUGGGCAAGUUGCUCAGAUACUUGUGCCUAAGGGUUGUCCCAGAGCCCCAGACAAGGCCCAGAAUCAAGAGGGUGUCCCACCAAGCAGGUCCUGCCUACUGGUCAACAGGGUAGCUCUUUCACAUGACACCAGGAUUCUGGAUGACUCAAAUUUUUGUAUACAGAUGAGGGACUGCAAAAAUUUUUGCCCAGGACCACACAGCCCAGAGCAGGCCUGCAAGGUCCCACUGCUAAGAAGUGGUGGGUCUGAGAUGGGAUCUGGGGACAGUCUGCCUCCAGCCCCUGGCUCUCCAAGUGCAGGACCAGCUCAUAGCAAACAUACCAUACAGUGGAGUUAUGAUUAGAUUUGAAAUGCCCUGAGUAAUUUGAGCUAAAAAGAAUCCUAUGGGAAAGAAAAUUUGUAAAAUAAAUGUGGUUUUGCCUUUGUUCUUAAUUCAGGGUUUAUGAAAGGAAGCCCACUUGUAAAUAAUUAGGGAUGAGAGCUGCUGACUUAGCCAGGGGUUUUCUUCCCAGGCUCUUGGACUUUCAGUGAGAGGAAGAAGGCAGGACAAUGAAGAAUGUGUCUGGUCUUUGCCUAGGUUCCUGGUAGGGAACUUCCCUAUGAUAGGAAAGUCUGUUACCCAUGGUGGGCCUCUGGGACUACAUUGGAGCUUAUGCUGAUGAGGUGACUCCUAGUGAGCUUCUAGAAAGUUGCAGGAUAGCAUGCAGCCAUGCCAGAAAGACCACCCACGUGACUUGAGAAUUGGGGAAGGGGGUGGAGGAGAACCUAGAGAAUAACUUCAACCAUAAGACCAAUGACUGGAUCAAUCAUACCUACAUAAUAAAAUCCUCAUAAAAAUUCUGGACACAAAGGCUCAGUUGAGCUUUCCCUAUUGCUGAUCAUAUGUUGAUGUGUCCAGCUGAUGAAUCAUCCUGAUAGACUCAUGUUUGGGACCCCUCCAGACUUUGUCACAUGUACCCCUUCAUUUGGCUUGGUCUUUCUUUGUACAAUCAAACUGUAAUUAUAAGGCUAGCACUUUCCUGACAGUUUCGUAAGUGAAUGAAACUGUGGUGGUAGUGAGAAGCCCCCGCAUUUGCAGCCAGCUGGUCAGAAGUGUGGGUGGCCUGGAAACCCCGGAGCUUGUGACUGUGGUCUGACAUGAGAGGCAUCUUGUGGGGGACUGUGCCCCAACCUGUGACUUCUGUACUAACUCUGUGGAGCUAUGCCAGGGCAGGGCAAGGAUGAAAAGGGCAAUGAGACAGCAUGACCAUGUGUUUUAUUUUUAAAGAUCCUCAGCCUUUCCAAGCAUUGUCCUUUUUUUUUUUUUUUAGACCUUAUUUAUUUAUUCUUGAGAAUAAAGAGAGAGAGGCAGAGACACAGGCAGAGGGAGAAGCAGGCUCCCUGUGGGGAGCCUGAUACGGGACUUGAUUCCAGAACUCCAGGAUCAUGACCUGAGCCAAAGGCAGAUGCUCAACCACUGAGCCACCCAGGUGCCCCUCAAGCAUUGUCCUUUAUCCCUGCUCAACACCACUCUACUGCCAUAGCUCACAGGCCAUGUCUGAAACCCAACAAUGUCCUCUCCCAAAUCUCUGAGUGUUUUUUAUUCAUAAGACUCAGUUAUUAUCUGAUGAAUGGAGGGGGGCAGGAUUAAGCAAAUUAUAAACAAUCACCAUGAUACAUCCCACACCUGCAUUUAUACUCUCUUCCAGGGACCUCAAAUAUUUGACACAGGUGGUCCUUGAGGCAUUUAAAAUAGGAUGAAAUUUGUUUUCUCUAAAUAUAGAUUAGGCUAGGGAACUUUCUUUCCAUGAACCUAUGGUCUUCAGAAGUUUGUGAUGCAAUAGAAAGAGCAUCAAAUUGGAGACAAAUGCCUGAACCUGGGUCGUCUCAGGGGCUGAGAAGGUGAGCCAGACAGGUGAGGCCUGGGCUCAUCAGACCCCAUCCCAAUCUUCUGGGGUUCAGAACAGGGCUUCAAGUUCAAUGGGAAGAGGAGUGGAGUGUAAAACUGGAACUGGAGGAGAGACCCAAUCAAACAGGCUGGAAGAAGACUCAGAUCUGAUGGGCACACCAUUGCCAGCACUUACUCUAGGUGCCCAGGCCAGCAAAUUAUGUCAGAUCCUAUUGCUCUGGGCUUCUUACAUGCAUCCCAGAUGAAUGCUCCUAGACCAGGAAGGGAGAAGAUGUGAGUAGUUAAUAUGUUUUCAUCAAAUGAAUUAAUGGCUUUUGUACAUCCAGUUGGCAAAACCUUCGGCAGACAACAUCUGAUGCUGGAAUGUAUCUCAAACAAGUUACACCUGACAGUCACCAUACCUUUUAAAGUGAUAGCACCCUGACACCCCAAACUUCCUGUUGACUUUAAUCAACUGAGGGCAUUUGAAUAAGCCUACAAUGUAGGAGAGGACAUGGAAGUAUAUCCAAGGACCCAAGCCAUAAUGAUGCCUACUAGUUCGGGGCUGAUGAGCAAAGAAGUAAUAAAGAGGGAAAACCUAGCAGCUCUUCCACCCUCCCUCCUUCUCUCAACACCAUCCUGUCUUCUCUACUUGCUAUUAUAGCUCUUUUAAAAAACGAUUCCUUUUUUCACAUUGUUUUCCGAUAAACCAAACACUUCAAGGGUCUGCAGUCUUUGAGUGUCCCUUCAAAGCCCACUUCACACCUGCAUUUCCCAAAAUCCAUGAUGCCAGUAAAUGUUACAUCAAUUGUAGCAGGUUUUGGUUACUCCUAUAAAUUAAGACUUACAAUGAGCAGAUCUCAUUAAAAUGUUACCACAGCACCAAAUUCCAGCCAAAUGGACACAAGCCCAAUGCCCUUGUCAUACAAUUCUAAGUCUUAUAUGGAAGCAAACAUGUAUUUUGUCAGAAAUUAGGAGGAGAAAGAGAUGAAUGGGAACUGCUGGAAUGCACAUCAGAGGCAUUUCCAAGUAUCCAUGAUGGCCACUGGCUACAUCGAUCGGAUAAUGACAAGAUCUGGUUGGAAUCCAAAUGAGAAGCCACUCAGCGGAGGCAGAAAGUAAAAGGAGUAGUUAAUUUUUAUGAACCUGUUGGCUGGUGCUUGAUGUUAAUAUUUCAUGGUGUCAAGCUUGUCUUCUUUUUUAUCUUAAACUCAAAAUGAAGAACUAUGACUGGCUCUGGACUAUAAUCCUGGUAAGAGCAUGCAGCGUUUCCACAUUAUGCUCCCUCCUCCAUACUAGCCUUGUUCAUGACUGCACAGCAUUUGUUGAACUGUCUUCUGAUCCUGUCAAGCUGUUACAAGUUGAAUUUUGGAAACAUGCAACAAUUUCAAGGAUUAAAACAAAUCACCCCACUGCUAAAUAUUAGCUCUCUCUUCUUAGGCAACAGCAUGUGGGGGUCUCACUUAGGGACUGAGAAUAAAUGUGGACCAUGGCCCUGCAUGAAGCCAUCUUGUUCUUUUCCAUUCUAUUUUUCCUCACCAUCCCUGGUUUCUCGGUUGAGCUUAUGAUCUGGUUGCUAGGUCAGCAGAAGGUGAAUGGUUUCCUGCGUGGGUGAGACAGAGUGGUUGCAAAAUACGUAUCUUGCCUCAACUCACCAACUGGUGCCCCAGCUGUCAGGGGAACACAGCAUAUUGGAGGCUAUGAUUCAAGAAGGAGCACCAGGUGAAAUGCAUUGUCAAGCACAGUUAUUAAAUGUUGAGGCUGCUCAGCAGCUACUUCAGCAUCCAGUUUUUUUUUUUCUUCCAAGUAAAACUCUUCUAUUGGCAUUAGACUGAGGGUUUCCUAACAUAAUCACAGAGUCUUAAGUUGAAAGGGGGUAUUUGGAGCAGCCCCUACUCUUUAGAGAUGAGGGAUCUAAUGUCUAGAGUAUGCAGGGCAGUGUGGGGAUUUUUAAAUUUUUGUUUAUUUAUUUAUUUAUUUAUUCAUUCAUUCAUUCAUUCACUCAUUCAUGAGAGACACACAGAGAGAGGUAGAGACACAGGCAGAGGAAGAAGCAGGCUCGCUGCAGGGAGCCCGAUAUGGGACUCGAUCCCAGGACCCUGGGAACAUCCUGAACUGAAGGCAGAUACUCAACCACUGAGCCAGAGAUCCAGCCAGGGAUCCCGGAUAUUUUUAUUUUUUAUUUUUUGGUUGAGAGGGGCAUGAAGAGGACCCUGAUCUGGCCAUAAAACUAGUACUGACAUUUUCCAAGAAAAUGGCUAAUUGAAUCAUGACCACAAAGAGUACUUACAGUGUACGAGAGGGAAAGAUUCAAACUUGACCACCCUAACAUUUAGAGAAAUGCACAGUAUUGAAAUAAUUUGGAUUAGUUCUCUAACAAUGCCAAGGAACUGCUCCAAUCACAAAGAAAUGCACCAGGGAUGGGGACAAUAUUUGAUGGCUCCCUCUCUACCAACCUGGAAGCUUAUAGUUUUAAUUAUCUUGAACCAUAUGCAAUCAUUAAUUCAUUUGAUGAAAACAUAUUAACUACUCACAGUGUGAUAGUCUAAGGAAAAUGGUGUGAGUAAAGCAUUUUAUCUACCUUCAGAACCUUUCAAACAUGCAAACAUUGUUUCUCAAUGUGAGGAACCCAAACAAAUUUAUUACAAUGAGACAGUUUCACCUACAAGACAAUGUGUGGCUGCCACACAUACCCUAGUUUCUCCUUUUCUGUUUGGUAAGAGCCUUUAGUCAUCAAAGUCACAUAAAAUUAUUACAAAUGGCAGGCAUUUACUUUCAGACCCUAAAUGAUGGGAAGUAAUAGUAAGGAUCGGUCGUGGCACAUUUUAUGUGUGCAAAGUGUUUUACUGUCAUAUUUUAUGGCUGGUUGGACGUAAUAGCCGUGUGUGAGGUGGGCUGGGCCAACUUCUAUUUCAGAGUCAGGACAUGGUAGCAAUCACCAUACACAUCAAUAUCUUCUUUGCAUGCUAUUUGCCUCGGGGCUUGAGAAAAAGGUUAUCACAUUUUUUUAUUUCUUGGAAUUUGCAUCUGCAUGUUUCACUUUGGUUCACCCAGCCUUUUUAUAAUGAUUCAGACUCAAAACUCAAAUUCUGAACUGCAUGGGUCACAUCCGUGAGUGGCUGCCAAGAUGAGCCAUGGCAGGUCUGACCCAACCCUCUUAGCCUGCAUCAUGAUCAAUAGCUAUUACCAUACUUCCACAGGAACUCCAUCUCAUUUGUCCCCAUCACUUAUCUUCCAAGGUCACAGAAAUGAUCCCUCUUGUCCCCAUCCCCCUCCAUCACUUUCUUGCAGGUAAGUGACCUUUGAAGUCCUUGUUUGCCUAUCACCACCCAUCCUUUUGGCCCAGCUUCCUUGGGCACUGUAGUCACAAUGGAGGCACCAGGGACCAGCUCCAGGAAAGAGUGAUCAGUUCCACCCCCAACCUCCAGUUUCUUCUGAUAAUCUAUGAAUUUGGACAGGCAGGAGUAAAGGUCUUGUAAACUCUCAUGAACUCUUCUCUUUCCUCUCUCCAUUCCUUCAGCAAGUAUUCCUGAGCUCUGUGAUUACUCUGAGGGUGACCUAAUGACCAAGAUAGGCUGUCCCUUGCCCAUGAGAGAAGCACACAUCCUAACAGGGAGCCCAGGAAUAUCAAAGGACACUUACCAGCCAAGGCUGUUGGUUCUAUGAGAGUAAUUGGGAGCUAUGGUGCAGAAGUCAUAGAUACCUGCCUCAGGUCUGGUGUCUUAAGGAGGGCCACACUUUGCAGUUAGAUUGGAAAGGUUAAUGUAUCUUUUACUAGGAGAGAGUUUAAGUCUCUCCAUGGAAGGCCACGGGUGUGACCCAGGGGAAUGAGAGUGGAGAGAGUGUCUUUACAGUUUAGGCAUUAAGAGGGGAAAGGGGAGCUAGGCUUAAGUCCUGUUCAAGGAUAAGAGGCACCUUUGGUUACUCCUGUAGGAUGUCUCUUGACAUAUGAUGGGCAGUUGAGCAAGGUUCAGACCCAGCAAAAAUUACCCCCCUCCAAAAGCCUAAAAGGACGGGAUGAGCUCCUUUACAAAUAAUUGCUAACAAACUCCACAGCUAGUCUCAGAGCUGCAAGGGGUGGGGGGUGGGGGGAGUUUAGGAAAAGGAAUCAGGAAAUAGCUCUUUGUUUAAUUAGGUGUGUGGCCUUAGCCAGUCAUUUGACCACUCUGGGCCUCACUGCCUAUUUUAACUUAUAGGAUUAAUAGUCCCUGCCCUAUUCACUCAACAAGUCUGUUGGGAGGAUAAAAUCAUAUAAUAAAUAUGAAAAGCUUAAGAUAUACAAAAAUAAAGCCCAUGCCUGUGUCCAAUGCUGUUUCACUGUUCACUUGCUUCUGCUUCUAGGUUUAGCUCUCUACUCAUCCACUGCUGAGUGUCUGGGGUGCUCCCUCAUUUAGCCCACCCACUGUCAGACACUGCCCCCUCACUCACCAUCCCACAUCCCUUGAUCAACAGCUGCUAAUCAUAUGGCCAUGGUUGAGUCAUUGCUAGGACUGAACCGUGUCAUGGCUAACACCAUCCAAAUAUGCGAAUGGCCCCUUCACUUUGAAUCCAUAUUCCCCAAGUCUAUUCUGAGACCGAGGCCAGUGGCACAUGCUGGAAAAGGAAAAUCUUUGUCUCUGGAUGCCACAGGCCCGGGGUUAUCUCUCUGCACCCAGUAGCAUUCUGCUAGCUGAAACCUAUCUGUCUUUCGUCCUGAAGAUGAUCUGGUGCUCCCACUGCAUGUGCUUGGGCCUGUUUCAACAAUGCUUCCAUGCUCUGGUCUCUCCUUGAGCAGGGAUAUGCAGGGAAUCUAAACCAACUGGCCCUUUAACAUGACAAUAUGACCUUGACUGUGCUCUGAUUGGCUGAACUAACUGCCUAGCACUUUACUAGCUCAGUAAAUGCUUGUCAAAUGAAUGAUUAGGCUUUGUAUUGGGUUGAAUGGUGUCUCCCCCCCAAAUUUAUAAGUGCAAGUUCUAACCUCCAGUACCUCAGAAUGUAAUUGCAUUUGGAGGAAGGUCUUUAGACUUAAUCAAGUUAAAAUGAGAUCUUUAUGAUCUCAUCCAAUAUGACUGGCAAUCCCUACAAGAAGAGGUCUGGACACAGGACACGCAUGUGUGUACAGAUGUAAAAUGGUGUGAAGAUGCAGGGAGCAGACAGCUGUCCACAAGCCAAGGAGAGAGGCCUCAGAAGAAACCAACACUGUCAAUACCUUGAUCUUGGAUGUCCAGCCUUCUGAACUGUGAGAAAAUAAAUUUCUGCUGUAGAAGCCACUCUGCCUAUGGCAUCUUGUUAUGGAGCCCCCAGCAAACAAAUACAAACCUGAUUAAGAACAUGUAAAAAUAGCUAUCACAGAAUGGCCAUCAGUUGUGUGAAAUUUAGAGCUUCAUCAGUAAGUAUGUGACUUGCCUGAAGUGGGGAAGGUGUUUAGGGGGCCAUCCUUCUUUCUUGGACAACUCUGUGGGCCCACCAGGAGGCCUCAGAAAUGAAUAAUCAAUAGCGUGGAAAACAGACUUUCCUAACAGCAAGGCAGGGGCUGCUGUAUCUAGGAGACCUCUGUAUUAUAUUACAAGCACAUAUUAUGUUUCCAUUUUACAGAAAGGGGACCUGGAUCAUACAAUGGAUCUGAAGUCAAUUUCCAAUGGAAUCACAGCUGCACAUUUUCCAACCACAACAUGCCCUCACUGAUCUUUGCUCCCUCUCCUUUCUCAUUUCUGCUUGCUUUUCAGCAAACCCCAGAGCUUAUCGUUACACAUAACUAUAUAGAGAUUUGGAAAGUGGGGAAGAAUUGGAGGGGAAAGCCAGUAUUUAGCAAUAGAGAAACAAUUGCCAAAGCACCUUUGCUGACGUAAGGCAAAAACUGAGAGCUCCACUGACUAAUCACACCAUGCCUCUCCUUACAGCUCUGAAGCUGGAUUAAACAGAAGUAAACUACAAUGGGUAUGGAAGAGACUGUCCCCAGGGGUACAGAUGACAGAACGAAGCAUGCAUACUGGGCAGAUAACUGAAGGGACGCUCAGACGCCAGAGGAGACAAAGGCUCUGCCCUUUACCGACAUGCAGGCUUUGCCGGCUGCUGGGCUUCCCUCCCGCACAGGGAGCCUGGCACCUAUGCCUGCUCUCUGCCCCACUCCUGGUUUCUUUCCUGGGCUGAGGACACCAAACUGCUCCUUCUGGCAUCUGCCUGACAUGGUCCUGACCGUGGCCUCUGUCAGCAGGGUCCCACUUGUUCUCCUAACGUCCCCCAUUUAUCGAGACUUACUGAGCACCUGCUUUGUGCAUGGCUGUAAAGAGUUCAAGCCUCAUUCCCCAAGGCUGGACCUGAAGGAGAAUUUCCCCUGAGCUGGCAAGGCUGGACUCUGUGGCUCCGCCCUCAUCCCUGGAGAUUUAGCUUCCUUGGUGGCUUCUGUCUGUGAUCACUACUGCCACUCCUAACCCUGCUUCUUAUGUGUACCCCAGUUCUCACACAGCUCCCAGGGCCACGCUGGGCCAGAUCCUGGACUCCUCUGUCCAAAAUCUUUGGGAACUUUCCCAAAUCACUCUGUAGCUGACAAGACCCUGCCCAGUCUGCCUUCCUAUUCUCUCUUUGAUUUCAUUCCUUGCACCUCUCUUUCUUUCUCUCUGGUUCCAGCCUGCUUUUUUGCCCUUGGAAUGCUCCAGGCUUGUUCCUGCCUCAGAACCUUUGCACCUGCCCUUCCCUCUGACCACAACACCUCUUGCCAGGUGGUCUCAUAGCUCACUUCUUCCCCUCCUUUGGGGCUUUGCUCAAAUUCCAUUCUCAGUGAGGCCCUUCCUGACUUCCAGUAUUUAAAACUUUACCCCUCACUACCAGCACCCCUAAUCUCCUUCUCUACUUAAUUUUUUCCAUUAUGCUCUUGACCAUCUGACAUACCAAAUAUUUAUUUAUUCUUUGCCUCCCCUGACAAGAAGGUAAAUCCGAGGAGAGUAGGAAAUUUUUCCUCUCGGUUGCAGUGGCACCAGCACACAGAACAGCACCUGCCAUCUGUUGAACCAAUGAAGGGACUCAAAGUACAAGUCACUCACCGGAAAACUCAUCGAUGAUGGUGGAAUAAAUAUGGGAAUGAA